UUUGGCAAACUGCGUGAAAUUGUUGUUGCAGCAAACUCGGAGAGAGAGAGUUUGGUGACUCUCACAGCAAACUAAAUUUGUUGGGCCAAACAGAUGAAAAAUAAGUGUUGCCAUACACAAAAAUUUGCUGGAAAAUACAGUAUUGCCAUACCGAUAUGGUAGAUGUUGCAGUUAUACACAAAACAUGUUUAUUCCAGAAGAAAACGCGCUGAGUAUAUGUACUGCUAACGCAAAAUUUUCGAUAUAAAGAUAUUUAAUAUCCGCGCGAAUAUAAAAGUUAUUAAAAAAUGUCUAUCUCCUGGAGCCGAGCGUUAACGGAAGAAUUAAUAAAUCUUCUCCAGGCCCGAGAGUGUCUUUGGAACACAAAGCAUUGCCAUUAUAGUGACAGGGAUAAGCGAAAUGCGGCAAUAAAUGGAAUUCACGACGUUUUGGUGACGAAAGAUCCCCUUGUGACCCCAAAAAACAUUAGGGAAAAAAUUCAAGGACUGCGCUCACAAUUUCGGAGAGAAGUGAGGGCAAUUGAAGCCAGUAAACGGAGUGGAUGCGGCGCAGCAGAUGUGAAAACACCCAAAAUGUGGUGUUACGAGCUGCUCCAGUUUCUACGUCCAAACGUAGAAAUAAGGGAGAUGCAGGAUAGAUUAAAUGAUGAAAACAGGCCACAAACGAGAUACGAUACAGACAAUAAUAUAAACACUGAUAACGCCUCGUUGAGGGACGAACCGUCGGUAAGUUAUAUUUUCACGAUUCGUAGCCGAAAUGCUGAAAAACGUUGAAUUCAUUAAAAUAAGUUAAAAAGGCUCAACCAUAUUUAUUUAAAAUUUCAGGCAUUAUAUUUAAUUUGCAUAACUUUUAUUGCUGUUCUAACCACUCCAGCUUUCCUUCAUUAUUAA